rnacentral:rRNA from 1 species
GAUGAACGCUGGCGGCGUGCUUAACACAUGCAAGUCGAACGGGAAACAUUUCAUUGAGGCUUCGGCGGAUCUGAUCUGUUUCUAGUGGCGGACGGGUGAGUAACGCGUGGGCAACCUGCCUUAUACUGGGGGAUAACAGCCAGAAAUGACAGCUAAUACCGCAUAAGCGCACAGAACCGCAUGGUUCGGUGUGAAAAACUCCGGUGGUAUAAGAUGGACCCGCGUUGGAUUAGCUAGUUGGCAGGGCAGCGGCCUACCAAGGCGACGAUCCAUAGCCGGCCUGAGAGGGUGAACGGCCACAUUGGGACUGAGACACGGCCCAGACUCCUACGGGAGGCAGCAGUGGGGAAUAUUGCACAAUGGGGGAAACCCUGAUGCAGCGACGCCGCGUGAAGGAAGAAGUAU